CUCUGACCUCCAACCCCUCCCAUCUCAGAGACCUGGACCUGAGCUACAACCAUCCAGGAGACUCAGUCAAGCUGCUGGAUCCACUCCGGACUCUGGACUCUCUCAGAUUUCUCUGAACUCUCUCUGGAUCCAAACUCAGCGAACAGAAAACUCAAACUGUCCAAAAACAACACAAAGGUGGAACAUGUGGACGAGGAUCAAUCAUAUCCUGAUCAUCCA